UAAGGGCGCACGGUGGAUGCCUUGGCACUAGAAGCCGAUGAAGGACGUUACUAACGACGAUAUGCUUUGGGGAGCUGUAAGUAAGCUUUGAUCCAGAGAUUUCCGAAUGGGGAAACCCAGCAUGAGUUAUGUCAUGUUAUCGAUAUGUGAAUACAUAGCAUAUCAGAAGGCACACCCGGAGAACUGAAACAUCUUAGUACCCGGAGGAAGAGAAAGAAAAUUCGAUUCCCUUAGUAGCGGCGAGCGAAACGGGAAGAGCCCAAACCAACAAGCUUGCUUGUUGGGGUUGUAGGACACUCUAUACGGAGUUACAAAGGACGACAUUAGACGAAUCAUCUGGAAAGAUGAAUCAAAGAAGGUAAUAAUCCUGUAGUCGAAAAUGUUGUCUCUCUUGAGUGGAUCCUGAGUACGACGGAGCACGUGAAAUUCCGUCGGAAUCUGGGAGGACCAUCUCCUAAGGCUAAAUACUCUCUAGUGACCGAUAGUGAACCAGUACCGUGAGGGAAAGGUGAAAAGCACCCCGGAAGGGGAGUGAAAUAGAACCUGAAACCGUGUGCUUACAAGUAGUCAGAGCCCGUUAAUGGGUGAUGGCGUGCCUUUUGUAGAAUGAACCGGCGAGUUACGAUUUGAUGCAAGGUUAAGCAGUAAAUGUGGAGCCGUAGCGAAAGCGAGUCUGAAUAGGGCGUUUAGUAUUUGGUCGUAGACCCGAAACCAGGUGAUCUACCCUUGGUCAGGUUGAAGUUCAGGUAACACUGAAUGGAGGACCGAACCGACUUACGUUGAAAAGUGAGCGGAUGAACUGAGGGUAGCGGAGAAAUUCCAAUCGAACCUGGAGAUAGCUGGUUCUCUCCGAAAUAGCUUUAGGGCUAGCCUCAAGUGAUGAUUAUUGGAGGUAGAGCACUGUUUGGACGAGGGGCCCCUCUCGGGUUACCGAAUUCAGACAAACUCCGAAUGCCAAUUAAUUUAACUUGGGAGUCAGAACAUGGGUGAUAAGGUCCGUGUUCGAAAGGGAAACAGCCCAGACCACCAGCUAAGGUCCCAAAAUAUAUGUUAAGUGGAAAAGGAUGUGGCGUUGCCCAGACAACUAGGAUGUUGGCUUAGAAGCAGCCAUCAUUUAAAGAGUGCGUAAUAGCUCACUAGUCGAGUGACACUGCGCCGAAAAUGUACCGGGGCUAAACAUAUUACCGAAGCUGUGGAUUGUCCUUUGGACAAUGGUAGGAGAGCGUUCUAAGGGCGUUGAAGCAUGAUCGUAAGGACAUGUGGAGCGCUUAGAAGUGAGAAUGCCGGUGUGAGUAGCGAAAGACGGGUGAGAAUCCCGUCCACCGAUUGACUAAGGUUUCCAGAGGAAGGCUCGUCCGCUCUGGGUUAGUCGGGUCCUAAGCUGAGGCCGACAGGCGUAGGCGAUGGAUAACAGGUUGAUAUUCCUGUACCACCUAUAAUCGUUUUAAUCGAUGGGGGGACGCAGUAGGAUAGGCGAAGCGUGCGAUUGGAUUGCACGUCUAAGCAGUAAGGCUGAGUAUUAGGCAAAUCCGGUACUCGUUAAGGCUGAGCUGUGAUGGGGAGAAGACAUUGUGUCUUCGAGUCGUUGAUUUCACACUGCCGAGAAAAGCCUCUAGAUAGAAAAUAGGUGCCCGUACCGCAAACCGACACAGGUAGUCAAGAUGAGAAUUCUAAGGUGAGCGAGCGAACUCUCGUUAAGGAACUCGGCAAAAUGACCCCGUAACUUCGGGAGAAGGGGUGCUCUUUAGGGUUAACGCCCAGAAGAGCCGCAGUGAAUAGGCCCAAGCGACUGUUUAUCAAAAACACAGGUCUCUGCUAAACCGUAAGGUGAUGUAUAGGGGCUGACGCCUGCCCGGUGCUGGAAGGUUAAGAGGAGUGGUUAGCUUCUGCGAAGCUACGAAUCGAAGCCCCAGUAAACGGCGGCCGUAACUAUAACGGUCCUAAGGUAGCGAAAUUCCUUGUCGGGUAAGUUCCGACCCGCACGAAAGGCGUAACGAUUUGGGCACUGUCUCAACGAGAGACUCGGUGAAAUCAUAGUACCUGUGAAGAUGCAGGUUACCCGCGACAGGACGGAAAGACCCCGUGGAGCUUUACUGUAGCCUGAUAUUGAAAUUCGGCACAGCUUGUACAGGAUAGGUAGGAGCCUUUGAAACGUGAGCGCUAGCUUACGUGGAGGCGCUGGUGGGAUACUACCCUAGCUGUGUUGGCUUUCUAACCCGCACCACUUAUCGUGGUGGGAGACAGUGUCAGGCGGGCAGUUUGACUGGGGCGGUCGCCUCCUAAAAGGUAACGGAGGCGCUCAAAGGUUCCCUCAGAAUGGUUGGAAAUCAUUCAUAGAGUGUAAAGGCAUAAGGGAGCUUGACUGCGAGACCUACAAGUCGAGCAGGGUCGAAAGACGGACUUAGUGAUCCGGUGGUUCCGCAUGGAAGGGCCAUCGCUCAACGGAUAAAAGCUACCCCGGGGAUAACAGGCUUAUCUCCCCCAAGAGUUCACAUCGACGGGGAGGUUUGGCACCUCGAUGUCGGCUCAUCGCAUCCUGGGGCUGUAGUCGGUCCCAAGGGUUGGGCUGUUCGCCCAUUAAAGCGGUACGCGAGCUGGGUUCAGAACGUCGUGAGACAGUUCGGUCCCUAUCCGUCGUGGGCGUAGGAAAUUUGAGAGGAGCUGUCCUUAGUACGAGAGGACCGGGAUGGACAUACCUCUGGUGUACCAGUUGUCGUGCCAACGGCAUAGCUGGGUAGCUAUGUGUGGACGGGAUAAGUGCUGAAAGCAUCUAAGCAUGAAGCCCCCCUCAAGAUGAGAUUUCCCAACUUCGGUUAUAAGAUCCCUCAAAGAU
rnacentral:rRNA from 1 species